rnacentral:lncRNA from 1 species
CCCACCACUAGGAGGUGUCCACAUGGUCUGAUAAACACUCCUAACAACCCCACCACUAGGAGGUGUCCACAUGGUCUGAUAAACACUCCUAACAACCAGACCACUAGGAGGUGUCCACAUGGUCUGAUAAACACUCCUAACAACCCCACCACUAGGAGGUGUCCACAUGGUCUGAUAAACACUCCUAACAACCCCACCACUAGGAGGUGUCCACAUGGUCUGAUAAACACUCCUAACAACCCCACCACUAGGAGGUGUCCACAUGGUCUGAUAAACACUCCUAACAACCUCACCACUAGGAGGUGUCCACAUGGUCCUAAAUCACACAGUUUCCUCAUUUUGUAUCACAUUCCAAUGAUAAAACUGGUCAUGUUGCCUAGUGGUUAGAGUGUUGGGAAUGUAACUGAAAGGUCACUGGUUUGAAUACCUGAGCUGUCAAGGUGAACAUUUGUCUAUGUGCCGUUAAGCAAGGCACUUAACCCUAAUUUGCUCCAAGGGAACCG